AUUUAAAUUAAUCCCAGGUAAUCUCCAGAUGCCAGCUGUCCAUCAUCCCUGCCUUCUUCCAGAUGAUCAAAGUGCUCCUGUUCCUCCUCACCAUGGCCUUUCAUCACCUUCACCACUGGAGAGCAGAUAAGAAAAUGUUUGAGCAUUGUGGGAGAUGCAAGAGUAGACCCCUGCAUCAGAGACAUGGAGGCCCUGUAUCUGAAGCCAAGUAGAGACUGUGUAGCGCAGGGGACCGCCUCGAGCCUGAAAAAAAGACGGGAUUAAAUCUCAACAGAUGAUAUAAAUCUAAUGAAAGCUCAGGUAUGGAAGAGGGAAGGCUGAGACCUCGCAGCCAAACACGAUGUCGUUCCCGGUGUAGUUGGACAGGUUGCUGGGGCCUCGAAGGAUACGGGGAGCUGCGGCAGAAGAAAGGAGUAUCUCA